AGGAGAAUACAAAAGCGGUUUAAUUGGUAGCAUUUGAAAUGCUAUGGGGCAUAGCUCUCGUGGGUUCGAAUCCCACUUCUCCUG
rnacentral:tRNA from 1 species